AUCUAGCUGAAGAGUCACAAACAGGACGAAACGCAUAUCCAGGAU
rfam:Schistosoma haematobium scaffold480_6, whole genome shotgun sequence.